rnacentral:rRNA from 1 species
AUUGAACGCUGGCGGCAUGCCUUACACAUGCAAGUCGAACGGCAGCACGGGAGCAAUCCUGGUGGCGAGUGGCGAACGGGUGAGUAAUAUAUCGGAACGUGCCCAGUCGUGGGGGAUAACGCAGCGAAAGCUGUGCUAAUACCGCAUACGAUCUAUGGAUGAAAGCGGGGGAUCGCAAGACCUCGCGCGAUUGGAGCGGCCGAUAUCAGAUUAGCUAGUUGGUGAGGUAAAGGCUCACCAAGGCGACGAUCUGUAGCUGGUCUGAGAGGACGACCAGCCACACUGGAACUGAGACACGGUCCAGACUCCUACGGGAGGCAGCAGUGGGGAAUUUUGGACAAUGGGCGAAAGCCUGAUCCAGCAAUGCCGCGUGCAGGAUGAAGGCCUUCGGGUUGUAAACUGCUUUUGUACGGAACGAAAAGGCUCUGGUGAAUACCUGGAGUUGAUGACGGUACCGUAAGAAUAAGCACCGGCUAACUACGUGCCAGCCGCCGCCGUAA